rnacentral:rRNA from 1 species
UACGUAGGGUGCGAGCGUUGUCCGGAAUUAUUGGGCGUAAAGAGCUCGUAGGCGGUUUGUUGCGUCGGCCGUGAAAGUCCAGGGCUCAACCCUGGAAUGCCGGUGGAUACUGCCGGGCUGGAGUCCGGAAGAGGCGAGUGGAAUUCCUGGUGUAGCGGUGAAAUGCGCAGAUAUCAGGAGGAACACCGGUGGCGAAGGCGGGUCUCUGGGCCGAUACUGACGCUGAGGAGCGAAAGCGUGGGGAGCGAACAGG